GGAUGAACGCUGGCGGCGUGCCUAAUACAUGCAAGUCGAGCGAACGGACGAGAAGCUUGCUUCUCUGAUGUUAGCGGCGGACGGGUGAGUAACACGUGGAUAACCUACCUAUAAGACUGGGAUAACUUCGGGAAACCGGAGCUAAUACCGGAUAAUAUUUUGAACCGCAUGGUUCAAAAGUGAAAGACGGUCUUGCUGUCACUUAUAGAUGGAUCCGCGCUGCAUUAGCUAGUUGGUAAGGUAACGGCUUACCAAGGCAACGAUGCAUAGCCGACCUGAGAGGGUGAUCGGCCACACUGGAACUGAGACACGGUCCAGACUCCUACGGGAGGCAGCAGUAGGGAAUCUUCCGCAAUGGGCGAAAGCCUGACGGAGCAACGCCGCGUGAGUGAUGAAGGUCUUCGGAUCGUAAAACUCUGUUAUUAGGGAAGAACAUAUGUGUAAGUAACUGUGCACAUCUUGGCGGUACCUAAUCAGAAAGCCACGGCUAACUACGU
rnacentral:rRNA from 1 species